UACGUAGGGCGCAAGCGUUGUCCGGAAUUAUUGGGCGUAAAGAGCUCGUAGGCGGUUUGUCGCGUCUGCUGUGAAAACCUAAGGCUCAACCCCGGACUUGCAGUGGGUACGGGCAGACUAGAGUGUGGUAGGGGAGACUGGAAUUCCUGGUGUAGCGGUGAAAUGCGCAGAUAUCAGGAGGAACACCGAUGGCGAAGGCAGGUCUCUGGGCCACUACUGACGCUGAGAAGCGAAAGCAUGGGGAGCGAACAGG
rnacentral:rRNA from 1 species